rnacentral:rRNA from 1 species
GUGCCAGCAGCCGCGGUAAUACCGGCAGCCCGAGUGAUGGCCGAUCUUAUUGGGCCUAAAGCGUCCGUAGCUGGGUCUGAAAGUCCAUCGGGAAAUCCACUCGCUCAAAGAGUGGCCGUCCGGUGGAAACUGCAAACCUUGGGACCGGAAGGAUGGAAGGGUACGGCCGGGGUAGGAGUGAAAUCCUGUAAUCCCGUCCGGACCACCGAUGGCGAAAGCACUUCGAGAAAACGGAUCCGACAGUGAGGGACGAAAGCUAAGAUCGCGAACCGGAUUAGAAACCCCGGUAGUCC